GACGUAGGGCGCGAGCGUUGUCCGGAUUUAUUGGGCGUAAAGAGCUCGUAGGCGGCUUGUCGCGUCGUCCGUGAAAACUUGGGGCUCAACCCCAAGCUUGCGGUCGAUACGGGCAGGCUAGAGUUCGGUAGGGGAGACUGGAAUUCCUGGUGUAGCGGUGAAAUGCGCAGAUAUCCGGAGGAACACCGGUGGCGAAGGCGGCUUCCUGGACCGAUACUGACGCUGAGGCGCGAAAGCUAGGGGAGCAAACGGG
rnacentral:rRNA from 1 species